rnacentral:rRNA from 1 species
GACGUAUGUUCAGAGUUUGAUCCUGGCUCAGGACGAACGCUGGCGGCGUGCUUAACACAUGCAAGUCGAACGGGGUAAGGAGAGCUUGCUUUUCUUACUUAGUGGCGAACGGGUGAGUAACGCGUGAGGAACCUGCCUUUCAGAGGGGGACAACAGUUGGAAACGACUGCUAAUACCGCAUGAUACUUGCGAAUGGCAUCAUUUGCAAGUCAAAGAUUUAUCGCUGAAAGAUGGCCUCGCGUCUGAUUAGCUAGUUGGUGGGGUAACGGCCCACCAAGGCGACGAUCAGUAGCCGGACUGAGAGGUUGACCGGCCACAUUGGGACUGAGAUACGGCCCAG